rnacentral:lncRNA from 1 species
GAAACGCAGUAGGAGGAGUGACGGGAACCGGGAGCCGGCUCCAUGCGCCUGGAGCGCGCGGGUCCCAGCGCCCAUCGGCCCGGGGUCCGAGGGGCCCGCUGCCCGGGCUCGCUGCGUGGUGCUACCGCCCCCGGGCCCGCUGCGCCGCGUCGGAGCCCCAGCAGACUUUGAGAGGCGUGUGCGACAGUGCGCGUCCUCUCCUGCCUCUGGAUGUUUCCUUGGAGCCUCUGGCCUUCGGGAAGACCGGUGCCAUCCAGAUUCCAACAGUGACUUUUAGCUCUGAGAAGUCCAAUACUACAGCCCUGGCUGAGUUCGGAAAAUACAUUCAUAAAGCCUGAUGGCCUGGUGUUGGGCCUGAUCACCCCAAAAUUUCAGGCACCCAACGUGGGGCUAUGAAGACCAUGGUAAAGAAAUGCUAGAGUAUAUGGAAAUGAAGGACAUAUCAUCAAAGGACACCCGAGGAUGGCUGAAAGAAGCUUGGUGGUGCCACUGGGUUAGAGUCUCCCCGACCAAGCUGGUCUCAGCAAGUGGUCUCCAUCAUGGGGGCUCGAAUCCAGGUUGAAGGGUCACCAGAGUGAUGGUUGGAGAACAUGGAACUAGCUGGAGGACACCUGAGUACUCUUAAAGCAAACCCCGUGUUAAUUGAAAAUGCUCAGUUACGAUUUCAUACAGAUGAACAACUGAAGACAAAAACAACAAAGGGGGAGAAAGAGGGAUUAUGGGACAGCCCAUAUACAAUUGAAUCUAGCAUUAUUAACUUUAAAUUUUUUGAGUCUGCCUAAAGGCCAGAUGUUAUCAGCAGCUGAACAGCAUUUACAGAAACCGGCUGCAAAGACAGAAGCAGAACAACUGGUUUGGUGGAGAGAUCCGAUAACAAAAAGUUGGGAAAUAGGUAAAAUAAUAACUUGGGGUAGAGGUUAUGUUUGUGUUUCUCCAGGCCAAAAUCAAUAACCAAUUUGGAUACCAUCAAGACACCUGAAACCUUAUCAUGAGCCAGAUGCUGAGGAAGAGAUUCCAGGAGGAUCCUGAGGACCCCCUGGUUGCAGCCACGUCGAGGCUGACACUGAGGAGGACCCCAACUGUCAUGAGCAACACCCGUCGAACACAGCCAUCCACCUGGGGACAAAUCAAGAAGCUGUCACAGAUGAUGGAAGAAAACCUGAGGAAAGCGGGACAACCAAUCACAAUGAGUAAUUUGGUGAUCUAUCACAGUGAUGAUCACCAUUGCCAUGAGUAUUCCUUCAACAAGGGCUGACACAGAGAACAAUUAUACUUAUUGGGCAUAUUUAUCAAUCUUGUCUGGCAAUAAUGCCUAGAUGAUUUCACUCUAUGGCACAGUUACACAUGCUUUCUGAUCUCAGUAUUUACCAUAAUAAAUCUGCUCCUAUAAUUGAGGCAUACCACCCUCAAAAACCUAUUUGUAAACAAAAUAGAACCUGGCCAGAAAUAAUGAACAACUUGUUUAGUAAGAUUGCAUUGCAGAACAGGCAGAGAUGCUACGCAAUGAUUCCUAUGGGAUCAUUGAUUGGUCCCCUAAGGGGAUGUUUAGCUUAAAUUGCACCUCUCAGUCUGCAUGCCAUGGCCACACUAGUUCAGAUGGUCUGAACAAAGUGGUCAGAUGGCAGAAAUGAUAAGAAGUAUGGCAAAAGUUCCUAUUGUCUGGAACCAUGGCAGUAUAGUGUCACCUCAACCUCAAAUGAUAUGGCUCAUUGUAGGAGCUAAACAUAAGGAUUUGUGGAAACUAUUAAUAGCUCUUAAUAAGAUCAAAAUUUGGGAAAGAAUAAAAAAAGCAUCUAGAAAGACACUCUACAAACUUGUCUUUGGAUAUUACAAAAUUAAAAGAACAAAUAUUUAAAGCAUCCCAGGUACACCUGACCUUAAUGACAGAAACUGGAGUGCUUGAAGGAGCUGCAGACAGAUUAGCAGCUAGUAACCCAUUAAAAUGGAUAAAAACACUUGGAAGCUCUGUGAUUUCAAUGAUGAUUGUGCUUUUAAUCGGUAUUGUUUGUCUUUGUAUAGUGUGCAGAUGUGGAUCCUGACUCCUGUGAGAAGUAGCUCACAGUGUCAAAGCUGCCUUUGCUUUUAUCGAUUUGCAAAUCAAAUAAGGGGGACAUAUUGGGAACAGCACCCCCCCCCCCAAAAUCUGGCCAUAAACUGGUCCCAAAACUGGCCAUAAACAAAAUCUCUGCAGCACUGACAUGUUCAUGAUGGUCUUAAUGCCCACGCUGGAAGGUUGUGGGUUUACCAGAAUGAGAGCAAGGAACACCUGGCCCACCCAGGGUGGAAAACCACUUAAAGGCAUUCUUAAACCACAAACAAUAGCAUGAGUGAUCUGUGCCUUAAGGCUGUGCUACUGCUGCAGAUAACUAGCCCAACCCAUCCCUUUAUUUCAGCCCAUCCCUUCGUUUCCCAUAAGGGAUACUUUUAAUUAAUCUAAUAUGUAUAGAAAGAAUGCUAAUGACUGGCUUGCUGUUAAUAAAUAACGUGGGUAAAUCUCUGUUGGAGGCUCUCAGCUCUGAAGGCUGUGAGACCCCGGAUUUCCCACUUCACACCUCUGUAUUUCUGUGUGUCUGUCUUUAAUUCCUUUAGCACCACUGGGUUAGGGUCUCCCCGACCGAGCUGGUCUUUGCACUUCUCACUUCUGGAUAUAGGCCUCCCUAGAGGGUUUUUUUUUUCUUUUUUGAUAGGAUCUUGCUCUUUCAUCCAGGCUGGUGUGCUGUAGUGUAUUCAUGGCUUGCUGCAGUCUUGAUCUCCCAGACUCAAGUAAUCCUCCCAUCUCAGCCUCCUGAAUAGCUAGGACCACAGGCCUGUGCCACCAUGUCUGGCUACUUUAAUUUUUUUUCCCUUAGAGACAGAGUCUCACUAUGUUGCCCAGGCUGGUCUCACAUUCCUGCACUCGUCAUCUUCCUGCCUUGGCCUUCCAAAGUGCUGAGAUUACAGGCAUGAAACACUACACCUGGCCAUCCCUGGAGUAUUUCUUCCUUCCUUCCUUCCUUGCUUCCUUCCUUCCUUUUUUCUUUUCCUCCCUCCCUCUCUCUUUCUUUCUUUGUUUCUUUUUCUCCCUUUCUUCCUUUCUUUCUUUCUUUUCUUUCUUUCUUCCUUCCUUUCUUUUUCUUUCUCUCUUUCUUUCUUCUUUCCUUCCUCCUUCCCUCCUUCCCUCCCCUCCCUCCCCCUCCCCUCCCUUCCUUCCUUCCUUCUUUCCUUCCUUCCUUCCUUUCUUCCUUCCUUCUUUCCUGUCUUAUUUCAAAACACAUGUCUUC